CGAGCGGCGGACGGGUGAGUAAUGCAUAGGAUCUGCCUGUAGUGGGGGAUAACCUGGGGAAACCCAGGCUAAUACCGCAUACGUCCUACGGGAGAAAGGGGGCUUUGGCUCCCGCUACGGGUGAGCCUAUGUCGGUUAGCUAGUUGUGAGGUAACGGCUCACCAAGGCGACGAUCCGUAGCUGGUCUGAGAGGAUGAUCAGCCACAUCGGGACUGAGACACGGCCCGAACUCCUACGGGAGGCAGCAGUGGGGAAUAUUGGACAUGGGGGGAACCCUGAUCCAGCCAUGCCGCGUGUGUGAAGAAGGCCUUCGGUUGAAAGCACUUUCAGCGAGGAAGAACGCCUAGUGGUUAAUACCCAUUAGGAAAGACAUCACUCGCAGAAGAAGCACCGGCUAACUCCGUGCCAGCAGCCGCGUAAUAA
rnacentral:rRNA from 1 species